GACGAACGCUGGCGGCGUGCUUAACACAUGCAAGUCGAACGGAAAGGCCCUGCUUUUGUGGGGUGCUCGAGUGGCGAACGGGUGAGUAACACGUGAGUAACCUGCCCUUGACUUUGGGAUAACUUCAGGAAACUGGGGCUAAUACCGGAUAGGAGCUCCUGCUGCAUGGUGGGGGUUGGAAAGUUUCGGCGGUUGGGGAUGGACUCGCGGCUUAUCAGCUUGUUGGUGGGGUAGUGGCUUACCAAGGCUUUGACGGGUAGCCGGCCUGAGAGGGUGACCGGCCACAUUGGGACUGAGAUACGGCACAGACUCCUACGGGAGGCAGCAGUGGGGAAUAUUGCACAGUGGGCGGAAGCCUGAUGCAGCAACGCCGCGUGCGGGAUGACGGCCUUCGGGUUGUAAACCGCUUUCGCCUGUGACGAAGCGUGAGUGACGGUAAUGGGUAAAGAAGCACCGGCUAACUACGUG
rnacentral:rRNA from 1 species